UACGAAGGGGGCUAGCGUUGCUCGGAAUCACUGGGCGUAAAGCGCACGUAGGCGGAUUGUUAAGUCAGGGGUGAAAUCCUGGAGCUCAACUCCAGAACUGCCUUUGAUACUGACGGUCUUGAGUCCGGGAGAGGUGAGUGGAACUCCGAGUGUAGAGGUGAAAUUCGUAGAUAUUCGGAAGAACACCCGUGGCGAAGGCGGCUCUCUGGGACGGUACUGACACUGAGACGCGAAAGCGUGGGGAGCGAACAGG
rnacentral:rRNA from 1 species